GAUGAGUCCUCCAUUUUUACAGAUGAGCCAACUGAGGCUCCACCUACUGGCUGAUGUCUGGAUCGCCUAGCAGAGAACACGGGGCUCCCCUCUAUGCAGAGGGCUCAUUCUGCUGGGGCAUCCACGGCAGACACAGGACAGGAAGGGGGUCUUUCUGCCCAUCUUUGGCUAGUGGGUCCACCUCGAAGACAAGUGCCUCUUCCCACCUCCCAACCAACCUGAGAAGCUGCUCAUGUGUGACUGAAAAGAAAAAAAGACCCAGGUAGUUAUCAGAAAAGUGAUCAGCCUUAUGAAGAGGUGACAUAUUAGAGCAGAAGGGUGACAGAAGAUUAGAAAGAAAUAUUGGAGAAGCAGCUACAGCUACCAAAACACUUUGUGGAGACCUGCUCAAAGACGGGAAGAAGAUGGGAUCAGCCUCUGGCUCAAUGCUCUAAGGGAACUUCCAGAAAUGAGACACACAGUAACUGGAUAAAAUACACUGGGAGCUAGUACAAGCAGAGAGGAAGGAAUCUGAAAACCAGUGCUGUCUGAUCAUGGUUUCCUCUGUACCUGAGUUUUCUGUAAAGAGACAGAUGCUGGUGGUGCCUAAAAUACAUCCACUUUAAACAUCUUUCCAAAAUGUGUCUCUAAGUAAAGACUUUCUCAUUUAUUCUUAUUUCAUCACAGCUACUCUGAAGCCUAGAUGAUCAUUUUCUCUACCUGCACCCCCCUGGCCAUGUCUGAUCAGGGCAGCCUCAGCUCAAUUUCC